rnacentral:rRNA from 1 species
UGAAUACGAGAUGCUACGGCGUCGAAGCAGUCUAUGUCAUACUUCCAAGAAAAGCUUGCACUGUCAUAAACAAAUAAUGCCUGUACCAUAACCGACACAGGUGGGUAGGUAGAGUAUACUAAGGGGCGCGAGAUAACUCUCUCUAAGGAACUCGGCAAAAUGACUCCGUAACUUCGGGAGAAGGAGUGCCUUAUUUAUAAGGUUGCAAUAACAAGAUCCAAGCAACUGUUUACCAAAAACACAGGUCUCCGCUAAGUCGUAAGACGAUGUAUGGGGGCUGACGCCUGCCCAGUGCCAGAAGGUUAAAGAAGUUGGUUAGCAUCCGCGAAGCUGAUAACUGAAGCCCUGGUGAACGGCGGCCGUAACUAUAACGGUCCUAAGGUAGCGAAAUUCCUUGUCGGGUAAGUUCCGACCCGCACGAAAGGCGUAAUGAUUUGGAUACUGUCUCGGAGAGGGGCUCGGUGAAAUAGACUUGUCUGUGAAGAUGCGGACUACCUGCACCAGGACAGAAAGACCCUAUGAAGCUUUACUGUAACCUGAAAUUGAAAUUGGACUUUACUUGCGCAGUAUAGGUGGGAGGCGUUGAGAAUAUUCUUGCGGGAUUAUUGGAGCCAUCAGUGAGAUACCACUCUUGUAAUGUUAGAUUUCUAACUUUGUAUCAUUAUCUGGUCAAAGAACAGUUUCAGGCGGGCAGUUUGACUGGGGCGGUCGCCUCCUAAACGGUAACGGAGGCGCACAAAGGUUUCCUCUGAACGGGUAGAAAUCGUAUCUAGAGUGUAAAGGCAUAAGGAAGCUUGACUGUGAGACCUACAAGUCGAGCAGGGACGAAAGUCGGUCUUAGUGAUCUGACGGUGCUGAGUGGAAAGGCCGUCACUCAACGGAUAAAAGUUACUCUAAGGAUAACAGGCUGAUCUCCCCCAAGAGUUCACAUCGACGGGGAGGUUUGGCACCUCGAUGUCGGCUCAUCGCAUCCUGGGGCGGUAGUACGUCCCAAGGGUUGGGCUGUUCGCCCAUGAAAGCGGUACGCGAGCUGGGUUCAGAACGUCGUGAGACAGUUCGGUCCAUAUCCGGUGUAGGCGUUAGAAUAUUGAGAGGAGCCUUCUUUAGUACGAGAGGACCGAGAAGGACAUACCUCUGGUGUACCAGUUAUCGUGCCAACGGUAAACGCUGGGUAGCUAUGUGUGGAGUGGAUAACCGCUGAAAGCAUCUAAGUGGGAAGCCCACCUCAAGAUAAGUAUUCUCAU